rnacentral:rRNA from 1 species
UCGAGCGCGCCCUUCGGGGUGAGCGGCGGACGGGUGAGUAACGCGUGGGAAUAUGCCCUUCUCUAAGGAAUAGCCUCGGGAAACUGAGAGUAAUACCUUAUACGCCCUACGGGGGAAAGAUUUAUCGGAGAAGGAUUAGCCCGCGUUAGAUUAGGUAGUUGGUGGGGUAAUGGCCUACCAAGCCUACGAUCUAUAGCUGGUUUGAGAGGAUGAUCAGCCACACUGGGACUGAGACACGGCCCAGACUCCUACGGGAGGCAGCAGUAGGGAAUCUUAGACAAUGGGGGAAACCCUGAUCUAGCCAUGCCGCGUGUGUGAUGAAGGCCUUAGGGUCGUAAAGCACUUUCGCCAGAGAUGAUAAUGACAGUAUCUGGUAAAGAAACCCCGGCUAACUCCGUGCCAGCAGCCGCGGUAAUACGGAGGGGGUUAGCGUUGUUCGGAAUUACUGGGCGUAAAGCGCACGUAGGCGGAUUA